CAAAAAAACGCAGUGAAUCAGUGCAAAAACGCAACGCACAUUCCCGCCUCUUUCUUCAGCCUUACAAUUUUUUUUCGUUUUGCGUGAUAUAUGUAAGUAUUCUGUGGUGCAUGUGCCAUCAGCCUUUUUACUCUCUUUCCUUCACUUUUCACGCAAAAAGGCGUCUGACACCAUUUAUUACUCAUUUUUCUCUCUCUCUCUCUCUCUCUUACUUUAGGUCUCCUCAUUUCUUUCUCAUUUUUUUUUUCUCUACAAUCCUCAACUUCUCAAGGUGGAGUCGUCGCUAAGAUCCAUAAAGAAGGUAUUCCGCCGGACCAGCAACGACUCAUCUUCGCUGGGAAGCAGCUCGAAGACUGCCGCACCCUCGCCGGCUACAACACUCGCCAGCCAUCUCUCUAUCUUUCUCCUGCCAAAUAGAUACCGUCGUUCGCCGGCGACAGCAGCAGCAGCACCACCCUCUCCGUCCUCUCUUUAUCUCCCAUAUACUCAUUCUUCCAAAAGUCUCUCUCCUCUUCGUUUUCUCAUUGUCAGUGGCCAUAAUCCGGCGCUUCAGAAGUUAUUAAGUGCAUUCGCUCCUUUGAUGGCAUCGAGGCUGUGACGAUCGACGGCCAGAACCGCUCUUCCGCUGUAGUAUUAAAGCUUCUGGUGGAUCCAAACUCUUGAGUUUAUGUUAUUCUUUGUUCAUUCAUUUAUUUCAGUUUGCGAUAGUAUUAAAGCUCAGAACCGCUCUUCCACCGUGGAAACAAGAGGUUAAGACUAUUAGCUGAAAUAUCCCUAAAGGUGGAUAAUCACAGUUGUUGUAUUCUUACGUGCAUUCGCUUAAUUACUUGGUAACGAAAUAAUACCUGCAAUUUUUCUAGAUGAUGUUUAAAUUGAGUGGCUGCAAGGAUAUGUUAAAUGUGACCGUGGUUUUCACAGAAAGAAGAUUGAUUUUCGUUUUAUUUUCUGAGUUGAUGUUAUUGGGAUUUUCCUUUAGAUUAGCUCUAAUUUUUUUGUGUUGGGAACUUGCCAUACCAGGCAGCCCCACAUCUUCCUGUCAUUCCCACUUGAGUAAGGAUGUCUUCCUCAUCUACUAUUGUAUAUCAUACUAUUUUUCUGUGAUUUCUGCAGAUGUGCGAACUCAAGCAAUGUAUUGGCUAUUGGAUUCUGGGUUUAUUGGUUUGAUAUGUUCCUGUUUCAGUGAAGAUGCUCAAAGGUUGGAAGGAUUCAAGUCAUUGCAUUUCAGUCUAUGGAUGGGAAGCAGGGUCACAUGAUGAAACCUCUUUCUCUCACUCCUAUUUUAAAAAGUGCUAUUAUAGAUGUAGAGUCAUCCAUGAGUUCUUCAGAUAAUGCAAUUGCGGUGUUUGGUUCUUCCAAAGGAGAAACUAUGGAACAAUACACUGGAGAUUCGGAGGUAGCUGGUAGGGCUUCUAAGGAAAUGGAAUUCUCUCUCAUUCACCAUCCACUCAAGCCCAACUUUUUUCACCACUCUCUCUCAUCCCUUCCCGCCGCAAGAAAGAGAUGCUCUUACAGGAAUACGGCGUCUUUAGGGUGCCACUGUUUGUCGUCGUCUUUGGAAUUGCAUUUCCAGAAUGAGGAGUGGGAGGCGCUGCUGAGCUGUCUCAUUGCUGCAAGUUGUUUUGGGGAUUUUCAAGCUCCAUUGAAGAAGUCAGUCGGGCCUACAAGAAGAUCACCUCUAGAUGGUAACGAUGCACCUGAGCGGCGUGUAUGUAAAGCUGCAGCCCGUGCUCUGGCUAUAUUGGGGGAGAAUGAGAUUCUGCGCCGUGCUAUUAGAUGAAGACAAGUUCCCAAGUGAGGAUUGCGCAUACCUACAAUGGAUGGUGGUGGCAUGAAAUUGAGAAGGGUACUAGAAAGCAAAUUCAUGAGCUUUUUGACCUUAUUUGUUGAACAUCUACUGGUGGUAUGCUUGCUGUUGCUCUUGAAAUAUAAUUAUUGUCCUUGGAAAAGUGUGAAGAAAUAUACAAAGAACUUGGAAAGCUUGGAGUUUGCUGAACCUGUUCCUAAGGAAAAUAAAGCAGCAACAUGGAGAGAAAAACUGGAUGAACUCUACCAAAGCUCAUCACAGAGUUUGCGUGUUGUAGUUCAUAGAGCUAAAAUUUUUUCAGUUUUCACGCAAGCCUCUCCUCCCUAUCUUCUCCAUCUUCUCCGCUGCCUCCUCUCUCCUUUCGACUCAGUCUGCGGCAACUCCAUCAAUGGUUUCUACGACGGCGAUGCCAACGUUGACCGGCUGUUCACAUCCAAAUCAUACGACGCAUGGGAGCUGAUCUGGUGCGAGGCGGAGCACACGCUACUGGCGGACUCGAGUAGAGCGCCAUGGUUGAAACUGCCAUAAGUUCAGAUUUCUAGCUUCUCACAGAAAAUUGAGCACCCCGGAAAACCGUAAUCGGAGAAAUUACAGCAAAUUGAAGGCCAAAACUUUAUUUUCUGGCUUCUCUGAAUCUGUAUGAGAUGAAAAGACCAAUGUAUUGAUCUUUGAUUAUCGAUGUGGACCCAAAUAAUAUCUGCUACACUAAUGAAUAUAAAUAACAUAUAAAGUUAUGUAGUCAUAUUAUAGCUGCCCCCACAUCGCUUAAAUAGGAAAAAUAUUACAAUUACAAGUAGAGUUUUUUACAUCAUUUU